GCGUUUUCUGCGCUGCUGACACAAAAACACAAGCUCCUCCUCCUCAUUUACAAACCUUUAAGUUCAGAUUUAGCCACGAGUGCGCGUAUGUUACAGUUAAUGUCAAGGUUUGGAUUUUAACCAACGGUGACUACAACUUUAAGAAAUAAAUUACUUGUUUUUCUUUUAUGGAGGAAAUCACAUGGAGGCGCUUUUCUGCUCACAUGACAGCCUGAGCCAUGGCAGGAGAGAUCAGUGAAGAUUGCUGAGCAUGUUGACUGCACGGAUGGAUUCCUGAGCAAGUUGUCCCUCUACAAAGUGCUUGCUUUGAUUGCUCUUGCUCAGCACGGCAAGCAACCCAGCCGAAAACUCUUGGAGAACCACGUACAAGAGUUACCAAAACCUCAGUUGGGCAAGGCGAGGGACCCAAGUGUACUGAAGAUGCAGGCAGCUCGGGAGGAUGUACUGAUGAUGUCCCAGACGAUGGAUGAACUGCUGGCCAGAGAUACAGUCCAGGUGGAGCUCAUACCUGAGAAGAAGGGCCUGUUCCUCAAGCAUGUGGAGUAUCAAGUCACCAGUGAGCAUUAUAAAAUAUCAGUUUACCGACGUUAUAGUGAUUUUGACGUCUUCCACGAGGUUUUGGUUCAGAGGUUUUCCUACAGAGUGGUGCCAGCACUGCCACCUAAGAGGAUGUUAAAGGGAGUCCUGACUUCCAUCUCUGAGCGGGAGUUCAUUGAGGGGAGGAGGCGUGCUCUUGGCAGAUUCAUUAACUUGGUGGCGCGCCACCCCUUCUUCUCAGAGGAUGAGUUGGUCAAGACCUUCCUCACCUUCAGUGGCUCUGAUGUUCAGACCAAGCUGCGUGAUACUUACAAGAAAAUGGGUGAUGAAUUCAUGACCAACAGAAUUGCAACCCAAGCAAAGGAAUAUCUCCCUGCUGAUAUUCAGACUCAGUUCUCGACAAGCAGAGAGCUGAUUAGAAACAUCCACAACAGCUUCCUGAAGCUGCGGGACCGAGCUGAGAAAAUGGCAGAGCGCUCUAAAGAGAAUGCAGCUGAUCUCCUCAUGUUUGGCAAAGAGCUCAGUACACUGGGCUCAGAUACUUCAUCUCUUCCUUCCUUGGCCUCUUCACAAAUCACCUGGGGGACUCUGCGUCAGUCUUUGAAGAGUCUGUCUGUGGAGUUCGGUGUGCUAUCUGACAAAGCUGCUCAGCAGGGCAGACGAGAAGAGGAUGAUGUUGUGGAAAAGCUGAAUCUUUUCCUGGAUUUGCUGCAGUCGUACAGAGACCUCUGUGAACGCCAUGAGAAGGGUGUGCUCCAUGAGCACCAGAAAGCUCUACACAAGUACAGCGUAAUGAAGAGGCAGAUGAUGAGCGCUACCAUUCAGCCCAAAGAGCAGGCCUCUGUGGAGCAGCUCGAAUCACGGAUUGUUCAGCAAGAAAACGCCAUUCAGACCAUGGAGCUGCGUAAUUACUUCUCCCUGUUCUGCCUUCAUCAAGAAACACAGCUUAUCUUCACCUACCUUCCAAUCACAUCCCAUAUUCUUGGGGCUUUUGUUAAUUCCCAGGUCCAAGGACACAGAGAGAUGGGUGAGGUGUGGAAUGAACUUCAGCCAAAGCUUGGAUGUCUCUUUGGUGGUAAUAACAGAUUGAAAACCUCCAUCUGAAACAUAAAUAUAUAUGGAAUGCAGAAGAGAAAUGCUGCCACUGAUGAUGAUCAUAAACUAGAGAAGAACUUGCCCUCACCUCUACCUCCUCCAGUUUGUGGCUGAGGAUCACUUCAUGACCCUGAAACUUAAAGUAUCCAACAAA